rnacentral:rRNA from 1 species
GACGAACGCUGGCGGUGUGCUUAACACAUGCAAGUCGAACGAAGUGGCGAACGGGUGAGUAACGUGUAAACACACUGCCCUUCAGAGGGGGAUAACAGUUGGAAACGACUGCAAAUACCGUAUACUGCGGGAGGGGUUUGCGUUUGGUUCGCAGGUUGGCGGGGUGACGGCGCACCAAGGCGCUGAUCCGUAGCCGGUCUUAGAGGGUGAACGGCCGCACUGGGACUGGGACCCGGCCCAGACUCCUACGGGAGGCAGCAGUGGGGAAUCUUCCGCAAUGGACGAAAGUCUGACGGAGCAACGCCGCGUGAGGGAUGACGGCCUUCGGGUUGUAAAGCUCUGUUAAUCGGGACGCGGUACCUGAAUAGAAAGCCACGGCUAACUACGUGCCAGCAGCCGCGGUAAUAC